AACACUGACCUCUGACCUUGGUCCUAUUUUGGGUGGAUUGGCAGCAACCUCCAAGUUCAACCCUCUGCAUAGCACCCUCUCUGCUUUGUGUCCCCAGGCAGUUGGAGGCCCUUGUGGUCUCUGACCUGCUCUGACACUCGCCUGCCCUCCCUGUUCUGACCCACCGACCUGAACUUGGGUCCAUUUAUACAGCAGAGACCAGCUCUAACAGCAAGAGGCCAGAAAGACAGUUGGAGGCCCUCGUGGUCACUGACCUGCUCUGACGCUCACUCACCUGCCUGCCCUGCUCUGACCCACCUGAUCCCCACACCCGCCUGGUUACCUCGUUACCAUCUUGAGAGGAGAGGCCCACAUCUAACAGCGAGAGUCAGAAAGGUGAGCAAGAGCUGUACCCUCAGCCCCUACUGACACUUCAAGUAAA
rnacentral:lncRNA from 9 species